ensembl:lncRNA
AGUCUACUCCUGGACUGAAUCCAUGCUAGGUUGGACUGUGCGAUACACAGCAGCGUUGUUCCACUACUGCAUUGAUCAGAGAUAUCCAGGACAAUGGGAGAAGCAGGAGGGAGCCCUGAAAGACAGUGCAGGCAGAGCUACAGGUAGAUUGAGAUUUAAAUAGAAGCCAUAGAUAUAAAGAGAACAAAAUGCUGCAGCGUCUGAAAGCCAAAAGUGAAACUUUGAGCUAUUCCCUCCUCAUUUGCACUUCUACAUACACAGCACGGCUGAAUUAGAGCCUGCAGAUGGAAAUCUGCAGACCCAGAGCACCGAGGCUGGUUCUCCAGAUCUCUUUUGAUCCCACAGUCUGUUUUCUGCGGGAGCAAAGUCUGCCUUCAAGGAAAAUAAAGCAAUACAACUGAAAAUCCUUUCUGUUCGAAUAAGAAAUCACAGAAUACCAGCACUAAAGUUCAUAGUAUGCUGAGUUUCCAGUAUUUCAUUGCCAGUGCUGUCCUGUCCUUUAUUUGAGGCCAAAAUCAUUAUUCUUGGGAAUAGACUAAAACAUGCAGGCUCCAGGAUUCUCAGUGUGAAUGACAGCAACACAUGGAUAGGACAGAAGACAUUUCGUCUUGCAAAGUCAUCACCACACAAAACAGGGCAUUCAAAGGGAAUGGAGGAACCCUUCAGCUCCAGCAAGUCUAAUGAAAACAGAGUGCAAGGUCACCAAUAAAGAUAUUGAACAGGACAGGCCCCAGCACCGACCCCUGGGGAACACCACCACUUGUGACCGGUCGCCAGCUGGAUUUAACUCCAUUCACCACCACUCUCUGGGCCUGGCCCUCCAGCCAGUUCCUUACCCAGCCAAGAGUGUACCUGUCAAGAGUGUACCAUGUCCCUCAGUACCACAGCUACCCUUUCCUUAAACACCUCCAGGGACGGCAGCUCCACCACUUCCCUGGGCAGCCUGUGCCAAUGGUAUCUGAGGAGCCCCACAAGGAUGGAGUAGACACAAAUUUGGAGAACCUCCAACAGGACGGUACUAUUAUUUGAGCAGUGGCUGUCUAAAGUAAGCAGUGCUAACAGCACGGCACAGUGCUAAAUCCCCGGUGUUGGGCCUCAAUAUAUAGGACACGUCAAAAGUUACAUAAUCCUUGAUGUAAAAUCCUUUUCUCCAACUAAUGUGUGGUGUCGUUUCCCCCCGCUGCUCUCCCUCCCUCCACCCCUCUGGCUGUGAGGCUUUGGAAAAGUGGCUUUGGAAAAGUGGCAGUGCCCUGGAGCCCAUCACCUCGAGGCCUUCAGCUGGAGCCUCCUCCUCAUGAUCCACUACAGCUCAGCCAGCAGCUGUCAGACACCCAGUGGGAGCCCGGCAAGAGCAUGGUUUGGGACCCUUGUGAGGAGCUGUCAGGUUUGCUCUGCUGAGAUGUCAGGUGUAGAUGAGCAAUAAAGCAUCUUUAUAACUU